CUGCACGGAGGGUGUGAAUUUGAAAUGUGCAGAGGAUGCUAGGACCAUCUCACAUCAGUCCGCGUUCACAGCUGCUGUUCCUCAGAGAACAAAUAUUUUAAAACUUUCCAGACACUUUUUCCAGUGUUGGAAUUCAGUGCUCCUUGAAAUCCUUGUUUCACAUCUUCUGAUGCUCAGAACCUCACAAGAUGGAAGACUGUUUCCCAUGAUAAAUUCAGAGGACUGCUGCAUGUAUACAGUGACUGAAAGGACUCAAUUUACUGCAACUGCUGCCUGGUUUUACUUACAACUUUCUUUAAAGGGGGACUUACCUUCUAUCAGUCUUAAUAAGGUACAUUUGCUGUACUAUACCUUAAAAAUAUUCUACAGAAUGAAGAAAAUUUGAGUUCUCCUAAAAAACGGGAAUGUUACAUGAACAUACAUGGAUGUGAAUGGAUAAAACUGGAUCCCUUGAUAGCCAGCUGUUCUUCCAUACAUCUUUUCCUACCAAGUUAGGAGGGCAGAGGAGACAAAAUGCAUCUUAUGUGAGGUAAAGGACUGAAAAAGGGAUGCAGUGUCCGCCUCUGGGGAAAUAAAUCUAGUUGCAACAGGCCACUGGAGCCAGGACAUAGAUAUCUGAAUUGCCUCUACAGAAUAGCCUGUGACUUAGAAACUGUGUGUUAGGGAAAAGAGUGAAACGCUUAUUCAAGACAAGUAAAAGAACCCAUGCAAUUACUGUUACCUAGUCUUUGGAUUAGCACUAAGUUCAUAGAACAACAAUAGUAUAAUGUUAACUGACAGCCUAAAACUAAACAAAGGAAAGAAAUUUCAAAUUUGCUCCAUUGAACCUGAGUGUGUAUAUGUAUAUAUAUAUAUAUAUAUAAUUCCCAUCACCUUUCCAGCUGAGAGAACAAUGGUCCACUUGGAGGCUACAGGGGAGAGGUAUUCAGUUUUUCUGGCUAAAAUUCAUUUUCCGCAUUGAGUCCUAACUGCAGAAACAGACAGCUGAGUGAACAGGCAGUGUGGAAGGGACCCCAUGUGUAAGUGACAUUGUUCCAUAUUUUCUGCGAGUCACAGAGAGUUGGUGCACACCCAAUUUUUCCAUCAGUGAGAGUUUUAGCAGCUUCUGCACUUUAUCUCCGGUGAGUUAAGGAUAACCCAGUGUCUCCUUUUUCAAGGGAGGGCUGGUUCACACAGACACCUGAAAGUUAAGGAAGAGAAGCAUUGAGCUUGACAGAAAAUUAUGCUGUAGAUGCGCAAUACCAUUGACCAGUGUUAUACCCAAAUAGCAUAGUCAUUUGCUCUUUGAGUCAAACUCAAAAAUAUGUGUGUAAAUAACACGAUCAGAUGUGUUGCACAAGUGCAUUAUGUAGUUAGUUUUUUAUGUGGAGCAGGCAGGAGGACAGACAGACAGACAGAAACAGAAGAGAACUCAGGUAAUAGGAGAGACAGCCAAUGAUAUUACUGCUUAAGUGUAAAAGUCAUGGUUUACAUCCAGAAUAUUUGGUCUUAAUUUAUUCAGAAAUCACAUUAAUAGAUUUAGAAAAACUAAACGCAGCAUGGAAUUUACUAGGGUCUUCCCUGUCUUGUUCGGCAUGUAUCUUCUCUCUAAUGUACCACUCUCUCCCCCAGGCUCCAGUCUGUCCCCCCAAAAGUCAAUCAAAUGUGUAUCAUAUAACCUGUUUAAUUUCCUACAAAAGAUUACAGUAAGUGUGCUUUUAAUGUAAUGAUGUCAGUGGCGGAUGAUAACAUGUAUUAAGUAGUGCAAACUGCUGAUUAUCUGUCAGGAUAAAUCUGUUUAUUUCAGAAAUAGCAGUCUGACAACCCCCUGUUGUUAAUCAUGAAAGUACAUGCUAAUGCCAGGUACUGUUUGGUUGGAGCCUCUCAGAGGAAUGCAUUUGUUAGAUUUUUGCUUUGACAGUCUUUACACAGAGUUUUGCAAAUUUACUGUGUACAUAUAUUUAUUUAUUUAUUUUAAGAGAAAGGCUAGAACAAGGCUAGAACAACUUAGGUUCACCGCAACUCAGAGGAAUGAAUGACUUGUGAAAAGAGAGAGUGGAUUAUAGGAUUACACAGCAGUUCAGACUGUGCCCAUGGCUGGAUUCAUCUUCAGUAAUUUCAGUGCAGAUCCAUUAGUGAUGAACAGAGAAAUGCAAAAGGAAAUUUAAGGAGUUCUUUCUCUGCGGAUGUCACUCCACAGUUUUAUUUGUUUAUUUAUUUUCCAGUAUUUACAGCAGUUCCUAAUUAUAUUCUGGUCUGAAAAGACCGUCUCCAGAUGAUACUCACAGCAUUCCUCUUUAAUGAGAUAAAUAGCAAAAUGAACCAGCCAGCUUUUUUGAUGUGAAUUUGACCCAGGUUUUGUGUUGCAGAAAAUGAAUAUUACUUAUUUAAAAGGAAACAUAAAUGGAAUACUCUGCCUUAGCUUACUAAAUCAUAGGUGAAGAGGUAUUUUGUCUGACUUUAUUGCAUUUUGAUCAUUUCAUGAAAGCUGUAAAAUGUUGAAUAGUUUAAUAAAAAUUGAUAUUUAUAUUGACAUUUCAGGAUUCUAAAUAGAAGCUCAGAAAAUCUAAACAGACUUUAGCAUCUCCACAGCUGUUCCUCCAAGCCUAUCUGAGUUCUGACUAAUUCACUUUUUCUCCCCACGUACCCUCAAUUGGCCCUAAUAUAAACAUCUCUCUCUAAAGCAAUUUCUCCCCAGAAGAUUAUGCACAUCUUCAUCUUAAUUCAGAAUUUACAUGUGUACUUUGCAUAUUUUUGCAUCAGUAUGUGUAUUUUAAAUUAGAUAAAGGUCACUGUCAUUCAUAAUCAAGAAGAAGGUGUAUAAAAGGUCAGGAUU
ensembl:lncRNA